rnacentral:rRNA from 1 species
GAUGAACGCUGGCGGCGUGCCUAAUACAUGCAAGUCGAGCGAACAGACGAGGAGCUUGCUCCUCUGACGUUAGCGGCGGACGGGUGAGUAACACGUGGAUAACCUACCUAUAAGACUGGGAUAACUUCGGGAAACCGGAGCUAAUACCGGAUAAUAUAUUGAACCGCAUGGUUCAAUAGUGAAAGACGGUUUUGCUGUCACUUAUAGAUGGAUCCGCGCCGCAUUAGCUAGUUGGUAAGGUAACGGCUUACCAAGGCAACGAUGCGUAGCCGACCUGAGAGGGUGAACGCCCACACGGGAACUGAGACACGGUCCAGACUCCUACGGGAGGCAGCAGUAGGGAAUCUUCCGCAAUGGGCGAAAGCCUGACGGAGCAACGCCGCGUGAGUGAUGAAGGUCUUCGGAUCGUAAAACUCUGUUAUUAGGGAAGAACAAAUGUGUAAGUAACUAUGCACGUCUUGACGGUACCUAAUCAGAAAGCCACGGCUAACUACGUG